UUUACUGUCAGUGCCUUUACUGUCAGAUAAUCAGUUUCUUUUAAUGUUUUUACGAAAUCGGUUAUUUAAGUGAAAAGCACAAGUUUGAAAUCUUAAUGAUGAUUGGGUACGGAGAUAGAACAAGAACUCAAAAUGAAGUUAUGCAUUUAUUUAGACAGAAGUGUCCUGAUUUACCACCCAUAUCUCAAAGUACUAUAAGCAAGAUUGAAAAACAGUUUCGGGAAAAUGGUCAAGUAAGAACAAUAACUAGUUCUUGUUGAUCUGCGCUUAAUGAAGACACCAAAAUUAAUGUGUUAUUAGCCAUUGAAGAAAAUCCUAAUAUUCGCACUAGGCAGAUAGUGCACGAAUUAAAAGUGAGCCAGUCUUCAGUAGUAAGGGUUCUUGAAGCAGAAAAAUUGCAUCCCUAUACACUAACAAUUCUCCAGGAACACAAUGAGGAUGAUGCAGAUAGAAUAAUUGAAGUUUGUGAACAAUUUAUGGAAUUAAUGCAGAAUAAUAAUCUUAUUACAGAAAACAUUCUCUUUUCCGAUGAGUCGACAUUUAUGCUGAACGGAGAAGUAAAUCGUCAAAAUUGCCGUUAUUGGGCACAAGAAAAUCCAUGUUGGAUGAGGCAAGGCCACACUCCACACCCAGAGAAAUUAAAAGGUUGGGCAGGAAUUCUAGGUCAGCAAGUUAUAGAUAGGCCCAAUUUUCUUUGACGAAAAUUUAAAUGGAGCAAGCAAUAUGGUGCGCCUCCCUGUUUUGCAAGACCUGUUCGAAACUAUCUGGAUACUAUUUUUCCAGGCAGAUGGAUUGGCAGAAGAGGACCUUUUGAAUGGCCACCAAGAUCGCACGAUUUGACGCCGCUGGAUUUUUUUCUAUGGGGAUAUUUGAAAACCAAAGUUUAUGUGACCAAGCCGGCAAAUAUUGAGGAGUUGAAAACUAGAAUAAGGCAAGAGUGUCUGAAACAUUUCUCCAGAAUGCAUAAGAAACGUUCAAAAUAAAUUUGUAGUACGUUUAGCGCAUUGCCAAAUAGUAAAUGGUUUACAUUUUGAACACUUAUUAAAGAAAAAGAUUUAAAAAAACCCUCUUUAAGUUUAUGAAAUACAUUUUUUUAAGGCCCUGUAUCUUACAAAUAAUCGAAUAAAGGUAUGGCAUAUGGUACAUCAAAA
rnacentral:lncRNA from 1 species